rnacentral:lncRNA from 1 species
GAUUUUGAUUGAUUUUACUGUCUUGUCUUGAUGUUCCCAUUGAAAACAACUAUUGGAAGUAAUGCCACGGCCACCACCUUACUGCUGCUCAGCGAUCUGUAAGGUGCCUGUGCAGUUCAUAUCUGCAGUGUAGUAGGUUUGAUAAGAAAAUUAUUUAAACCCAGUAGAUUAUGUUGCUUUGAGAUUUUUAACAAGUGUUUCUGUUGUAUUUUUUCCCUCUGUUAAAUAUAAGCAGUUUAGGGACUUGAUCACAGAAACACAUCUGGCACUUUCUGGUCAUCUCACAGUAGGCCAUUCUUUGCCUGCCUUAGGUACUUGGUAUAAAAUGUAAAAUCGGAAACUUUGUAGACCAUGUAUCUGAAAGUGACAGGGUACCCCAAUAAUUUAUAACAAAAUUGUAUGCUGUUUUAGAAAUGUAUCUUCCAAUUAAUAUUGUGUCAUCUUUUCUUAGAGUUUCAAAGAAAGUUAAGUCAUUGCUAAAGCCAUAGCUUAAGAAUUGGUUCUAAUGAAGACUUUGUGAUCCAUAUGGUCUUGAUCUGUACGUUUUCUGUAUUUUAAAUAUUGUAUAUAGAAUGUAAAGAAAAAUGAUAUGUUUUUAUUAUGUUUUUUGAAUAAAGUUUUUUCCAUUACAUUGUGGUAGGCUUUUGGCCUGUGAAUUAAUUUUUUUUUAAUUGCUGUACAUUUUUAAGAGGAAGCACUGUAAUGGUUUUAAAGAAGUUUCUGAUAUUACUUAAUGUGACUAUAAUAAUGCCCCAAUUAAGUGUGAUACAUUCUGUGAAACUAUUUUUUGUAUUUUCCAUGUUUGUCUCUAUUGUCUUCUAAGUAACUUUAGUUUCAUCAUUUAGUGUUUUUCUUCAUUUGUCAUCCGUUGAGUUUUUAAUCGAUUGUGCAUAUUUUCCUUUUCAUG